rnacentral:rRNA from 1 species
UACGUAGGCAGCGAGCGUUGUUCGGAGUUACUGGGCGUAAAGGGUGUGUAGGCGGUUGUUUAAGUUUGGUGUGAAAUCUCCCGGCUCAACUGGGAGGGUGCGCCGAAUACUGAAUGACUUGGAGUGCGGGAGAGGUGAGUGGAAUUCCUGGUGUAGCGGUGAAAUGCGUAGAUAUCAGGAGGAACACCGGUGGUGUAGACGGCUCACUGGACCGUAACUGACACUGAAAAACGAAAGCCAGGGGAGCAAACGGG